rnacentral:lncRNA from 1 species
CUGGGAAGUGGGUUUUGUGAUGUGCCUAGAACUAGGGAUGUGAUAAUCACAAAAGGAGAGUAUGAAUAUUGGUGGAAGUUAGCAGCCUCUGACACACGGUCGGUAAUCACACAGAGGGGACACAGAGGUCAUACAGGGAGGUUAUGGGACAGUCUCUCUGGUAACAUUUGACAAAGCCUGGGAAAGAGGCUAGCAAACAUGCUCCCAGGUGCGGGAAGAACAUGUCAAAUCUGGGAAGGCCCUCCUGCUCAAUGCACAAGAAGGAUGGCAAAAGGUCAGGAUGGUUGGCUCUCCAAAAAGACCAGAGGAACUUAUUGAUCAAGCAACACCACUGCUUCAUUACCACAGUAAGAAGAUUAUCAUCUAGACAGUCUUAGCAUUCCAGAGGGGAGAAGGGAGCACAUUUAUGGGGUUUAGGGUUAGGGUCUGGGCUUGAAUAGUUUUAGGAAGACCUUUCAACGUGGGGACAUAAUCAAGUUUGGACAAUGUUAGAACAGUUCACAACUGGCAGGCACAGCUGGGCCAGGGCUUCUGAGCAAGUCUGACACACCAAUGUUUCUCUGCUAAGCACCCUGUGGAAUAGUUUGUCCAGAGAAGGCCAUUUAUGCAGGCCCGGGUUAAAGUCAGCUUCCCCCAGACAGGACCUUGGUUGGGGAAGGAUGGACAUCUGAUCCGAACGAAAAUCUUCAGGUCAAGAGGGAAACAGACGCACAGACCUCGACUAACAGAACCAAAGGCCCCACAGAACCUGUUUCCACUCCAUCGAAUGAAAUUCCACCCGGUUAUUCAAGUGUAAACCUGGAAGGCAUUCCUCUCCCCUCCUUCCUUCUCAUUUAUCACCACCAGUCAAUUAACUCCUGUGGAUGAUCACACCUUUCAGCUCUUGUCUUAGUUUUAUUUGCCCAUGCAAUAGGGAAGUCCCAUCCCCCCUCCACAUGCACCUCACCGGGGUCAUGAUCUCAGGGCCUUCAUCUGUUCUCUCUGAACCCCAACAGAGUGGGUGGGCUAUAUAGUUAGCGCGUAUACACUUGUUGAAUCAGUAUUUGUGAAAGCCUGAAACAACACCCGCCCCAGCCCAGCUGCACUUCAUCUGAGCUUACUUCCCUGCCCCAGACAUAAUCCCUGUCAUCAGUGUGGCUUCUAGACCUUUGUAUGUAGAAAUAGACUGUUUCAGUUUUUACUGAAAUGGGAUGGUAGCGCAUAGAUCAUUCAACCUUU